CACGUGAGCAACCUGCCCUUGACUUCGGAAUAACAGCUGGAAACAGCUGCUAAUACCGGAUACGACUCAUCUCCUCAUGGAAGUGAGUGGAAAGCUCCGGCGGUCAAGGAUGGGCUCGCGGCCUAUCAGCUAGUUGGUGAGGUAACGGCUCACCAAGGCUUCGACGGGUAGCCGGCCUGAGAGGGCGACCGGCCACACUGGGACUGAGAUACGGCCCAGACUCCUACGGGAGGCAGCAGUGGGGAAUAUUGCACAAUGGGCGCAAGCCUGAUGCAGCCAUGCCGCGUGUGUGAAGAAGGC
rnacentral:rRNA from 1 species